rnacentral:rRNA from 1 species
AGAACGAACGCUGGCGGCAUGCUUAACACAUGCAAGUCGAACGAGACCUUCGGGUCUAGUGGCGCACGGGUGCGUAACGCGUGGGAAUCUGCCCUUGGGUUCGGGAUAACAGUUGGAAACGACUGCUAAUACCGGAUGAUGACUUCGGUCCAAAGAUUUAUCGCCCAAGGAUGAGCCCGNGUAGGAUUAGCUUGUUGGUGAGGUAAGAGCUCACCAAGGCGACGAUCCUUAGCUGGUCUGAGAGGAUGAU